rnacentral:rRNA from 1 species
CCCUUAGAUGUUCUGGGCCGCACGCGCGCUCCACUGACGAAUGCAACGAGCUUAUAACCUUGGCCGAAAGGUCUGGGUAAUCUCCAAAUUUCGUCGUGAUGGGGAUAGAUUAUUGCAAUUAUUAAUCUUCAACGAGGAAUGCCUAGUAAGCGCAAGUCAUCAGCUUGCGUUGAUUACGUCCCUGCCCUUUGUACACACCGCCCGUCGCUCCUACCGAUUGAAUGGUCCGGUGAAGCGUUCGGACCGUGGCCUUUGGACGGUUCGCCGUCUGUUGGCUGCGGGAAGUUCGUUAAACCUUAUCAUUUAGAGGAAGGAGAAGUCGUAACA